rnacentral:rRNA from 1 species
AUUGAACGCUGGCGGCAGGCCUAACACAUGCAAGUCGAGCGGAUGAAGGGAGCUUGCUCCUGGAUUCAGCGGCGGACGGGUGAGUAAUGCCUAGGAAUCUGCCUGGUAGUGGGGGAUAACGUCCGGAAACGGGCGCUAAUACCGCAUACGUCCUGAGGGAGAAAGUGGGGGAUCUUCGGACCUUACGCUAUCAGAUGAGCCUAGGUCGGAUUAGCUAGUUGGUGGGGUAAAGGCCUACCAAGGCGGCGAUCCGUAACUGGUCUGAGAGGAUGAUCAGUCACACUGGAACUGAGACACGGUCCAGACUCCGACGGGAGGCAGCAGUGGGGAAUAUUGGACAAUGGGCGAAAGCCUGAUCCAGCCAUGCCGCGUGGGUGAAGAAGGUCUGCGGAUUGUAAAGCACUUUAAGUUGGGAGGAAGGGCAGUAAGUUAAUACCUUGCUGUUUUGACGUUACCAACAGAAUAAGCACCGGCUAACUUCGUG